rnacentral:rRNA from 1 species
UACGGGGGGGGGCAAGCGUUGUUCGGAUUUACUGGGCGUAAAGGGCUCGUAGGCGGCCAACUAAGUCAGACGUGAAAUCCCUCGGCUUAACCGGGGAACUGCGUCUGAUACUGGAUGGCUUGAGGUUGGGAGAGGGAUGCGGAAUUCCAGGUGUAGCGGUGAAAUGCGCAGAUAUCAGGAGGAACACCGGUGGCGAAGGCGGGUCUCUGGGCAGUAACUGACGCUGAGGAGCGAAGGCGUGGGGAGCGAACAGG